rnacentral:rRNA from 1 species
GACGAACGCUGGCGGCGUGCUUAACACAUGCAAGUCGAACGGAAAGGCCCUGCUUUUGUGGGGUGCUCGAGUGGCGAACGGGUGAGUAACACGUGAGUAACCUGCCCUUGACUUUGGGAUAACUUCAGGAAACUGGGGCUAAUACGGGAUAGGAGCUCCUGCUGCAUGGUGGGGGUUGGAAAGUUUCGGCGGUUGGGGAUGGACUCGCGGCUUAUCAGCUUGUUGGUGGGGUAGUGGCUUACCAAGGCUUGGACGGGUAGCCGGCCUGAGAGGGUGACCGGCCACAUUGGGACUGGGAUACGGCCCAGCCUCCUCCGGGAGGCAGGAGUGGAGAAUAUUGCACAAUGGGCGGAAGCCUGAUGCAGCCACGCCGCGUGCGGGAUGACGGCCUUCGGGUUGUAAACCGCUUUCGCCUGUGACGAAGCGUGAGUGACGGUAAUGGGUAAAGAAGCACCGGCUAACUACGUG